rnacentral:misc_RNA from 1 species
CUGCUACAAAGAUCACAUAUAUAACUGUUGGAGCUGAAGUCACAGAGAGCCCCAAUAAUGCCUCUGCCCAAGUUGUACCUGCCAUGCAUAAUGUCCUCACAGCUUUGAAGAAGGUUAAGGUUGGUUUGCAUAAAAAGAUUAAAGUUUCAAGCACCCAUUCCCUUGGGAUUUUGUCUCGUUCAUUUCCACCGUCUGCUGGGGCUUUUAAUAGCAGCUAUGCAUUUUUUCUGAAGCCCAUGUUGGAAUUCCUUGCUGAAAAUCCCAAGGGAAUGGGUGCUUGAAAC